GGGAAGGUGGCUCAGUGGUAGAGUGCUUGCCUUGCAUGCAUGAGGCCCUGGGUUUGAUUCCUCAGCACCCA
rnacentral:tRNA from 1 species